GCCUGUGCUAGAGCAACCCGUGGCCCCAACCAUUGCCUGGCCUCUGCCUGUAGGCUACUGGCACUGAAGUGGGUUACACAGUA